CCGGACCCGCUUGUGGAGUUCAUGUGUUUCUGUCCCUCUAGUGGAGAUCCUCCUGAUGGAGCCUGCAGCCAGACCCUUCUCCAGCGAAUGACUGAAUGCAGAACGGACACCUCAUCUCUCAGCACUCGCAGCCCCGGACCCGUGCCCCUCGUAAUGGCAGCCAGCCCAAACUGACCCUCCAGCUGAAGGCAAAGAGAAGGAGGGAAUCUGUCCCAAGCAUCGGGAGGAUAAGCAGACGCCGCGCUGCACCCGAGCCGCACAGGCUGUAUAAAAGCAGACCGCUCCUCUAGGUGAACGUCAGCCUACAAUUUAGCCAUUCUUAUCGGGAGCAGCGCACGGCGUACGGCCAAAGAUGGCCGUCUAAGAGGAAGGGGACGCUGGGUAACAUUCAGUCUCACCUGGUUCUGCACUUGGGGGCACUUUGCCAUCUCUCCGAGCAGUCAUCGCUUGUAAGACCCCAAAAAUAUCAACUCAUAUUUAUGUGCAGUACCAAAGAAAAAUCCAUCUGACCUCUCUCUGUUCAUACAGCUAUUUUAUGACUACAGGAUGAAUGGAUGGAUGCUGCAUUACUUUGUAGCUCAGAGUUACCAUAUAUUUAGACUGAGCAUCCUGAGUAUGCAAAUACAAAAUACAUUCACAGGUUCACCCAUACAUUCAUAUACACUGUAAGAUAAUAAAUAAUAAAAUAAAUAAAUUGUUAUGCUGUGUUAUUUGAAAGCUUACUAAAUCUACUGUGCAAGGCAGUACAUGUAAUAUUAAUUGGCAAUUAGGAAAAUGAUCCUGUUCAUAUAAUGCAUGUCGUGAUACACAAGAAUUACAAUAUUUGUGAUUAAAUAUUAACGCAUA